rnacentral:rRNA from 1 species
CUUGCAGGGUACUCGAGUGGCGAACGGGCGAGUAACACGUGGGUGAUCUGCCCUGCACUUCGGGAUAAGCUUGGGAAACUGGGUCUAAUACCGGAUAGGAACCAUCCUUAGUGUGGUGGUUGGAAAGUUUUUUCGGUGUAGGAUGAGCUCGCGGCCUAUCAGCUUGUUGGUGGGGUAAUGGCCUACCAAGGCGGCGACGGGUAACCGGCCUGAGAGGGUGUACGGCCACAUUGGGACUGAGAUACGGCCCAG